rnacentral:rRNA from 1 species
GAUGAACGCUGGCGGCGUGCCUAAUACAUGCAAGUCGAGCGAACAGAUGAGGAGCUUGCUCCUCUGACGUUAGCGGCGGACGGGUGAGUAACACGUGGAUAACCUACCUAUAAGUCUGGGAUAACUUCGGGAAACCGGAGCAAAUACCGGAUAAUAUAUUGAAGCGCAUGGGUGAAUAGUGAAAGACGGUUUUGGCGGCGGGUGUGGAUGGUUACGCGCCGUAUUAUCUAGUUGGUGGGGUAGGGGCUUACCAAGGCUAUGAUGGGUAGCCGGACUGAGAGGGUGACCGGCCACAUUGGGACUGAGAUACGGCCCAGACUCCUACGGGAGGCAGCAGUGGGGAAUAUUGCACAAUGGGCGGAAGCCUGAUGCAGCAACGCCGCGUGCGGGAUGACGGCCUUCGGGUUGUAAACCGCUUUCGCCUGUGACGAAGCGUGAGUGACGGUAAUGGGUAAAGAAGCACCGGCUAACUACGUG